UUGACUUGGACAAAUAUUAAUUUUAUGAUCUGAUCUCAAAUCA
rnacentral:rRNA from 1 species